rnacentral:rRNA from 1 species
GACGAACGCUGGCGGCGUGCUUAACACAUGCAAGUCGAACGGAAAGGCCCUGCUUUUGUGGGGUGCUCGAGUGGCGAACGGGUGAGUAACACGUGAGUAACCUGCCCUUGACUUUGGGAUAACUUCAGGAAACUGGGGCUAAUACCGGAUAGGAGCUCCUGCUGCAUGGUGGGGGUUGGAAAGUUUCGGCGGUUGGGGAUGGACUCGCGGCUUAUCAGCUUGUUGGUGGGGUAGUGGCUUACCAAGGCUUUGACGGGUAGCCGGCCUGAGAGGGUGACCGGCCAAAUUGGGACUGAGAUACGGCCCAGACUCCUACGGGAGGAAGCAGUGGGGAAGAUGGCACAAGGGGCGGAAGCCGGAGGCAGCAACGCCGCGUGCGGGAGGACGGCCUUCGGGUGGUAAACCGCUUUGGCCGGUGACGAAGCGUGAGGGACGGUAAUGGGUAAAGAAGCACCGGCUAACUACGU